GAUUAAUUGAAAAGGGCUUUUGGUGGAUGCCUUGGCAUCAAGAGGCGAUGAAGGAGGCGGAAGACUGCCAUAAGCUUCGGGGAGCUGUCAAUCAAGCAAUGAUCCGAAGAUGUCCGAAUGGGGAAACCCUUCUUGGCAAACCCAAGAAAUCUUUAUCUGAAUAUAUAGGGUAAAGAGGCGAACGGCAUGAACUGAAACAUCUAAGUAGUGCCAGGAAUAUAAAACAACGUGAUUCCCUGAGUAGUGGUGAGCGAAAUGGGAAGAGCCUAAAUUAUUGUUACGUGAUAGCCUGCAAGCGUUGUAACAAUAGCGUAGUGGGAUGUAAUGUUUGAGGAUUGCAGUCCUCGACUUAAGACUUUUUACUCUAGUUGAACGCUCUGGGAUGGGCGACUAAAGAAGGUGACAGUCCUGUAAACUAAAGACUAAAAAGAUUAAGAUUAUUCUCCCGAGUACCAUAGAGCACGUGAAAUUCUGUGGGAAUCUGUCCGGACCAUCGGAUAAGGCUAAAUACUCCUUGAUGACCGAUAGUGAACAAGUACCGUGAGGGAAAGGUGAAAAGAACCCCGGGAGGGGAGUGAAAUAGAAACUGAAACCAAUUGUCUAUAAGCGGUGGAAGCGGGAUAUACGUAUCCGCAACCACGUACCUUUUGCAUAAUGAGCCAACGAGUUAUGGUGUGUUGCAAGGUUAAGUUUUGAAAGAACGGAGCCGUAGCGAAAGCGAGUCUGAAUAGGGCGACAAGUAACACGACAUAGACCCGAAACCUAGUGAGCUAUCCAUGUCCAGGGUGAAAUCUCAGUUACAUGAGAUGGAGGCCCGAACCGGUGUGGGUUGAAAACUGCUCGGAUGAGGUGUGGAUAGGAGUGAAAGGCUAAUCAAACUGGGAAAUAGCUGGUUCUCCCCGAAAUAUAUUUAGGUAUAGCCUUGUUGAAUCCGCAAUGGUGGUAAAGCACAGUUGAAGCUUUGGGGGCGCAAGCCUACCAGGCCUUUACUAACUCUGAAUGCCGUUGCGUUAGAAGACAGGAGACAGACUGUGGGGGAUAAGCUUCAUAGUCGAGAGGGAAACAGCCCAGACCAUCAGCUAAGGUCCUUAAGUAUUCGUUAAGUGGUUAAAGAAGUGAAAAUGCUUAGACAGCCAGGAGGUUGGCUUAGAAGCAGCCAUCCUUUAAAGAAAGCGUAAUAGCUCACUGGUAUAGUGUUUUUGCGCUGAAAAACGAACGGGGCUAAACGAAUCACCGAAGCUAUGGCUUGUACAUUUAUUUGUACAGGGGUAGGGGAGCGUUCUCUGAUAGAUACAAGUUUGACCGUAAGGACAAAUGUGGAUCAGAGAAGUGAAUAUGUUGGUAUAAGUAACGAAAAAAUAGGUGAAAUUCCUAUUCGCCGUAAGCCUAAGGUUUCCGUGAGAACGGUUCAUCCACUCAGGGUUAGUCGAUCCCUAAGCCGAGGCCAAUUGGAGUAGGCGAUGGAAAACAGGUACAAUAUUCCUGUACCACUUAUGAGCGUUUGAGCGAGGGAGUGACGCAGAAAGGUAGGUUAACUUGGCGCAUGGAUGCCAAGCUAAAUGUAAAGAGGUGCUUUAUAGGUAAAUCCGUAGAGCAACAAUCCUUGAAACAUGAUGGGUAUAUCGAUCCGUAAGGAAAGAUGUAUUUGACUGAUCCUACGCUGACUAGAAAAACUUCUAGCGAGCUUUAUGAGUGAUCGUACCGCAAACUGACACAGGUAGGCAGGUAGAGAAUACUAAGGCGUUGAGAUAACUAUCAUUAAGGAACUCGGCAAAAUGGCCCCGUAACUUCGGGAUAAGGGGUGCCUGUCACGUUAUUUGAGUUCGCUCAGAAAAGCGUGCAACAGGUUUCAACAAAGAGGCCCAACCGACUGUUUAACAAAAACACAAGGCUCUGCAAACUCGUAAGAGGAAGUAUAGAGUCUGACGCCUGCCCAGUGCUGGAAGGUUAAUAAGAGAGGUUAGCUCGCAAGAGCGAAGCUUUGAAUUGAAGCCCCAGUAAACGGCGGCCGUAACUAUAACGGUCCUAAGGUAGCGAAGUACCUUGUCGGGUAAAUUCCGACGCGCAUGAAUGGCGUAACGAGUUGGGCGCUGUCUUGAUGAUAGACUCAGUGAAUUUGUAGUACCGGUGAAAAUGCCGGUUACCCGCGGAAGGACGGAAAGACCCCGUGCACCUUUACUAUAGCUUGACAUUGAUUUUUGGAUUAAUUUGUGUAGGAUAGGCGGGAGGCUUUGAAGUCACGGCGCUAGCUGUGAUGGAGCCAACCUUGAAAUACCGCCCUUAUUGGUUUGAAAAUCUAACUUUGUCCCGUAAUCCGGGUAGAAGACAGUGUCUGGUGGGUAGUUUGACUGGGGUGGUCGCCUCCUAAAUUGUAACGGAGGCGUUCAAAGGUUCCCUCAUGACGAAUAGAAAUCGUCUGUAGAGCGCAAAGGCAAAAGGGAGCUUGACUGUGAGACAUACAGGUCGAACAGGUGCGAAAGCAGGACUUAGUGAUCCAGUGGUUCCACAUGGAAGGGCCAUUGCUAAACGGAUAAAAGGUACGCCGGGGAUAACAGGCUGAUCUCCUCUGAGAGUCCACAUCGACGAGGAGGUUUGGCACCUCGAUGUCGGAUCAUCGCAUCCUGGGGGCGGAGAAGUUCCCAAGGGUUUGGCUGUUCGCCAAUUAAAGCGGUACGUGAUCUGGGUUCAGAACGUCGCAAGACAGUUCGGUCCUUAUCCUCCGUGGGCGCAGGGUAUUUGAGGAGGGCUGUCCCUAGUACGAGAGGACCGGGAUGGGCAGACAGAUGGUGUUCCAAUUGUUUACCACAAGCAGCGUUGGGUAGCCAAGUCUGUAAGAGAUAACCGCUGAAAGCAUCUAAGUGGGAAACUCGCUCCAAGAUAAGAUACCCCGUAUCAGAGAGAUCUGAUACAUUAAGACCCCUUGAAGACUACGAGGUUGAUAGGUUGGGUGUGUAAGUACAGUAAUGUGUUUAGCUAACCAAUACUAAUAGGUCGAAAGUUUUAAUUAC
rfam:Candidate division TM6 bacterium JCVI TM6SC1 contig_2_JCVI_TM6SC1_contig_464061..737650, whole genome shotgun sequence.